UUUAAUUUUAAUUUGAAUUCAUAAAUUUAAGUUAAGUUUGAAAUAAAAUUUGAAUAAACUUUAUGUAAAUUAAAAUUUAAUUUAAAUUCAAAUUGAUAAGUUAGAUUCAAAAUAUUUGAUUAAAUUUUAAUUUUUAAUUUAAGUUCAAAUUAAAAUUUAAAAUUAUAUAUUUAAUUUUUAAAUUUUAACUCAUAUUUUAAUUAAAAAAGUAGAAAAAAUAAAUUUAAUCCGAAUAAAUAUCGAUUCCGUAUGGAUUCAACUUCCAAUCUGACCUUCUAUGCCGGAUUGAAAAAAUGGGUGAUUGAGCGAUUCUCAUUCCAUUCGGGAAUCGGAAUCGGAAUGGGACUUCCACGUACUAAACACCCACAAACAGAUUUAUUCAUUUCCAUUCCGAUUCCAUGGUGAAAAAGAAGCGAACCAAACACGCCUACAGAGUCCGGCUGCUAUGCUAUCGAUAGCACCAAGCGCUUGGUGCUUCAAGUUUUCUGCCGUUAGAUUAAUCCCUUUGAUUAUUUUUACCCGUUCGAUUAUACUAUUCAACCAAUCAUCCAUUCAACCUUAGUGGGUCCAUAUCAUUCUAACUGCACAUCUUUUAAUCCAAUGGUGGAAAACUUAGUAGCACCAAGUAA
rnacentral:lncRNA from 1 species